rnacentral:rRNA from 1 species
CCUACGGGAGGCAGCAGUGGGGAAUAUUGCACAAUGGGGGAAACCCUGAUGCAGCAACGCCGCGUGAGUGAAGAAGUAUUUCGGUAUGUAAAGCUCUAUCAGCAGGGAAGAAGAAAGACGGUACCUGACUAAGAAGCCCCGGCUAACUACGUGCCAGCAGCCGCGGUAAUACGUAGGGGGCAAGCGUUAUCCGGAUUUACUGGGUGUAAAGGGAGCGUAGACGGCUGUGCAAGUCUGAAGUGAAAGCCCGUGGCUCAACCGCGGAACUGCUUUGGAAACUGUAUAGCUUGAGUACUGGAGAGGCAGGCGGAAUUCCUAGUGUAGCGGUGAAAUGCGUAGAUAUGACGAAGAACCCCGAUUGCGAAGGCAGCUUGCUGCAGCGGAACUGACGCUGAUGCUCGAAAGCGCGGGUAUCGAACAGGAUUAGAUACCCUGGUAGUC